UGCCAGCCGCCGCGGUAAUACGGAGUGUGCAAGCGUUACUCGGAAUCACUGGGCAUAUAGAGCACGUAGGCGGGAAGAUGUGUCGGUGGCGAAAGCCCCCAGCUCAACUGGGGAACUGCCUCCGAAACUGUCUUUCUUGAGGCCGAGAGGGGUGAGUGGAACUUCUGGUGGAGCGGUGAAAUGCGUAGAUAUCAGAAGGAACACCGGUGGCGAAAGCGACUCACUGGCUCGGUUCUGACGCUGAGGUGCGAAAGCGUGGGUAGCAAACAGGAUUAGAUA
rnacentral:rRNA from 1 species